rnacentral:tRNA from 1 species
UUAAGAAAGUCUUCAGAGCUUUGUAAGAGCUCAUCAUAAUUUGCUGCU